CAACAGUCCCAUGUGUUGUAGGUCCCAGGAGGUCUUGGUGUUUUUGUAGACAGCAGACAAGAAAUAAAAGGAAUUUUGUCCUUUUUACCUCAUGUAAUCCCACUGGAAAAUGAAACAUGUGCUAUGAGUUGAUAUUGACUCCUGCCAGGUCACCUCCCUAAAGAGUCUCGGGCAGGCACUGUUGCAACAUUCUUGGACAGGAGUGUGACGGGCUGUGAUGGAGAUGGAUGGUUUUUGUAGUACGCUACCGUGGAACACUGCACUACUGUCUACCCCUAGGAAGUGGCUAAUGAGGACGCCACGAGUAACCCGCAUCUGUUACUUUAACUCUUUCAGAGGGUCUGUAUGAGCUGUUGGCUGCUCUGCCAGCCCAGCUGCAGCCACAUGUGGAUAGCCAGGAAGACCUGACCUUCCUCUGGGAUAUGUUUGGUGAAAAAAGCCUGCAUUCAUUGGUAAAGAUUCAUGAAAAACUACACUACUAUGAGAAGCAGAGUCCGGUGCCCAUUCUCCAUGGUGCGGCGGCCUUGGCCGAUGAUCUGGCCGAAGAGCUUCAGAACAAGCCAUUAAACAGUGAGAUCAGAGAGCUGUUGAAACUACUGUCAAAACCCAAUGUGAAGGCUUUGCUCUCUGUACAUGAUACUGUGGCUCAGAAGAAUUACGACCCAGUGUUGCCUCCUAUGCCUGAAGAUAUUGACGAUGAGGAAGACUCAGUAAAAAUAAUCCGUCUGGUCAAAAAUAGAGAACCACUGGGAGCUACCAUUAAGAAGGAUGAGCAGACCGGGGCGAUCACUGUGGCCAGAAUCAUGAGAGGAGGAGCUGCGGAUAGAAGUG
rnacentral:sRNA from 1 species